rnacentral:rRNA from 1 species
UACGAAGGGGGCUAGCGUUGUUCGGAAUUACUGGGCGUAAAGCGCGCGUAGGCGGUGAUCUUUGUCAGAGGUGAAAUCCCGAGGCUCAACUUCGGAAUUGCCUUUGAAACGGGAUCGCUUGAGUCCGAGAGAGGAUGGCGGAAUUCCUAGUGUAGAGGUGAAAUUCGUAGAUAUUAGGAAGAACACCGGUGGCGAAGGCGGCCAUCUGGCUCGGUACUGACGCUCAGGCGGCGAA